GAGGAAAAGAAACUAACUAGGAUUCCCUUAGUAACGGCGAGUGAACCGGGAUGAGCUCAAAUUUAAAAUCUGGCGUCUUUCAGGCGUCCGAGUUGUAAUCUAUAGAGGCGUUUUCCGCGCCGGACCGCGUCCAAGUCUCUUGGAAUAGAGUAUCAAAGAGGGUGACAAUCCCGUACUUGACGCGACAACCGGUGCUCUGUGAUACGUUCUCAAUGAGUCGAGUUGUUUGGGAAUGCAGCUCUAAAUGGGUGGUAAAUUCCAUCUAAGGCUAAAUAUUGGCGAGAGACCGAUAGCGAACAAGUACCGUGAGGGAAAGAUGAAAAGCACUUUGGAAAGAGAGUUAAACAGCACGUGAAAUUGUUAAAAGGGAAACGAUUGAAGUCAGUCGUGUGAAAGGUAUUCAGCCGUCUCUGGCGGUGUAUUUGCCUUUCACGGGUCAACAUCAGUUUGAUCCGGUAGAAAAAGGCAGGAGGAAGGUGGCACCCUCGGGUGUGUUAUAGCCUCUUGUCAUAUGUGCCGGACCAGACUGAGGAACGCAGCUUGCCGCAAGGCCGGGGUUCGCCCACGUACAAGCUUAGGAUGUUGACAUAAUGGCUUUAAACGACCCGUCUA
rnacentral:rRNA from 1 species